rnacentral:lncRNA from 1 species
UUGUUAGAAAAGAAUAAGUAGUUGACCAAAGCAUUCGAAUUUUAAUAGUUCGGUAUGCUUCAAAUAUCGGUGGUACUUCACAAAUUUUUGAAAUUGAGGAAUAUAUAAUUAUUAAUUCUUAAAUUGAAUAGGGCUCGUGAGUAUUCUCCUAAUUUUGGUCCCUUGAGUUCACAUUUUCACGUUUUUCUAAAUGAUAAAUUUUUAUGGCUGCAUAAAAUUUUGAAAUAAAGUUAAUUAGUGUGAAUUAGGGCGAUCGCUCUGCCCUUUUGUUUUUUUCUUCAAAAAUUUACAGGAUGUGAUUUGCUUUUGUUCUGGUCAAGAGGAUUACCCUUUAGAACACUGGUUCUUAAUAUUGUUGGAGGCAAUGAUAAAUAAACACCACGAGUUUCAUAUGAAUAUUCACCAAACCCUUCUUAAUUGGUAAAGUGGAGCGUGUCAAAUUAUUUGUGUUUUGACCUCCACCGAGCCCCUAAUUUAUGAUCGAAUCCAGGUUAAGAACCACUCCUUUUGAACAAUUCUUCAAAUUUUUGCUGAGGAUUGGACAAUAUACUGUUUUGGGACAUUUGGAUGAAACAUAUUGGAUUAUUUUCAUUCGAUUGCAUAAGAUCGAAUAAUUUAACGAAUCAGAAUAAUUUAUAUUUUCUUUCAAUAUAGGUUUUAAUCACUUAGAGUUGGAUAACAUCUUUUGUUAUUCGAUGGAUUUUGUCGGUGGUUUGGUUUCUACGGUUGAUUUUAUAAUAGAACGAGAAGCGACAUCGCUAUUAUAAACACUAAUUAGUGGGAAACUAUACUACUACGGCCCUCGCUACACACUUAGAAAAAGAAUGGAAUCAUGCCCCAAAAUGUCAAUACAUAAACCAACAAAAUCUCACUAUGUAGUGAAUUCGAACCAGCGACAAAAUAGGAAUAAUAAGAAAAACAAAAAUAAAUAUACACGGGAAUCAUUCAAAGAGAAGAAUUUUUAAUCACUUCUCCUUUAGUAAUUAUCAUUAGACAUAAUCGAUUAUUCAUACUAGAAAAUACACAUGGAUUGACAAACAAGCAUAAUAUGAAGCAUGAGCAUAAUUCCAUCAUUGUACCAACAGAGAAAAAACAUUAAAUUCAUUUUAUAGUAAUUUUAUUGCAUAUUUUGAUUUAAAAAAUUCAAAGGGAACAUCAAUCUCUACCGAAAAUAAACAAUAACGACGCAUAAAUUUCAUUUAUUUAUAUAUUAUAUUAAGGCGAAAUAUCCUUGAGGCAAAAUGUCCUUUGGCAAAAUGGCUAAAGGCAAAUUGUUUUGGGGUAAAAUAGAUGAAGGUAAGAUGACUGGGCACCCUAUAUAAUAUCUAUAGGUAGGUUACCACUUCUAUUGUGCGUGUACAGUAUAACUGUAUAAAUAUGUAAAUAUAUAUUUACAGUAUGUUAAGAAAUUGAUGAUACCUUAAGAAAGAGUAAAUAACACAAUAAUUACCAUUUUUUAAGGUCUUUAUUUUACAAUACAUAAUUUAAAAAAUACAUCAUAAUAAAUUAAGGAAUUACAUUUGGUAAAAAUAAAAAAAAACGCAUUGUAGUUUAAAAUUAGUUCCCAUAGACCUCUAAACCUCUAAAUAUGACUCUUACCUACCUCAAUGCCAUUCGUUGGUUCCUUCAAGGUCAACUUUUUCGCAAUAUAAGACUUUGAGCUAAGUAUGCCAAACCCGAUUGUUUUAGGCUUCUUCGAAGGAAUUAACUUAUUUUUGUGAAGCCCAAACAGAGUUAUGGCCGAUAUAUGGUUUGGUGAGGUGUUUAUAUUGCCGUCUAAGUUUCAUUCAACAAACUUCCUCAAUAACAGCAAAAAAGGACACUCAGUAGAAACAUGAACUAAAGAAUUAAAAACUUUACCAGAGUUUUUGCAAUAAUCAUUAAAUAUUAUACAACCCGUAGCCACUAGAAAUUGGGCAUUGAAGUUCCUGCCAUCGGCAAUUCCUUUAGUUGAAUUCAUUAUAUGGUUUGUCCAAUCUUCAUUCAAACUUAGAAUACGGAGAUAUUUUCUACCAAUCGUGAUGACUUCGGUUAAUACUUUUUUAAAUAAACCCAUUUUCAUAGGCCAAGGAGUAAGCAUACAGGGUGUGGCUUCUGUCUUUUGCAAAUGUAAUAAAAACUUCCCCUUCGAGAAAAUAUAAUCACAUUUAACAUCAUGAAUUGAAAUAACGUUAUUAUCCAACGCUUCCCUUUCCAUGCUUAUCGGAUUUUCUUGGUUUUUAAAGAAAUAGCUAUUUCCCUUGUUCUUAUAUAUUACGUCUAUUGUCGAGAUUGAGUCAAAAACGACAUCGUUUAACCACAAAACUCUAUGAGCUGCCCCAAUCAAGGAAGAAAAUCGAACCACCUCCGAGUUUAUCAUUUUCGUUCAAAACAAAAUCCACUUCCGAAUCCUACUCCAGAAAAUACAAGACCUCAAAUCUGGGUUCAUAAUUAAGUUAAGGAAAAUCCUCUUGUAAAUUUUAGGCAAGAUAGUAGAAAUUGUGGCAAGUCCACCUCCAGGUUACUCCUUGCUUCUUUUUAAUGACGGAAUAUAAGAUUUAUAAAAUAAAUUUUCAAGCCAACUUUUUUCCUCCUUAAUUGAAUGCUCUCCGAUUAUCGGAGACGAAGUAUGGAUAUACAUGGAUGGAAAUACAAGAUCCAUGGAAUUGCUUGUAUAUUAUAUAAGUCGAUCCUUUUUUGUAAGUUAAAAUUUCUCCACUCUGCUAAUUUUUUAUAGAUUAAACUGUUAAGGGAAGUCCAGUUUCCAGCUUGAAAAAAAGUCGACUCUCUCUCACUCGGUCCAUACGCGUUGAUUAAAAAAAGUUCUGAUGUUGCAAAAAAUAAUUAAGAUCUUAUCCCAUUCACUUUUUCUGUAAAAUUCUUCAAUACAAAUUGGAACAUUUAACAAUCUCGAAAUAAAAGUACACGUUUUACACCAGUCAGUGUAACAAUAGGUAAAACAACUAGGGAGGAAAAAAGUACACGUUUUUCCACAUGAAGAGGAAACAAGGCUCUUAAUGUAUUUGCAGACAGAUAAUAUCUGAUUUAAAGUCAUUAAGUCUUUUCAUUAGAGUGUGUCUGACUUUACACAAUUUUCCUCUACGGACAUUGAGAGAAAUUAAGGGAUUUAAGCGAUCGAUUCAUAAAUUUUGUAGGAAUUCAGUAAGUCUGGUGUGGGUAUUUAAAAAAAAUUAUAUUACAUAGUCGAUUUAAUGUAAUAAUAACUGAUCCAAAAUUAGUCCUGAUUUUUUUAAAAUUUUUGAGGAGUCCUCUUGUUAGGAGAUAACUUUGAGUCGCAAGCCGUCCUUUUAGAGAUCGAUCCAGACCUAGUCCUAGAAGACAUUAUAAGCUCAUUCAUGAUGGGACGUUUUGCAGGUUUUUUUUUGUUUAAUCAAUUUAUCAUUAGUCACUCCUUCCAUUUCUGAACUUAUUAAUUGCGAAGUAUUUUUUUGUCAAUAGAAGUGAGAGAUACAUCCAUAUCUUCUAUUGGCACUUCAUGUUCUUGGGCUUGAUCCUUAUUGGCUUCGUUCCUCUUGCUCAAUGUAUCCUCAUCUAUAUUAUGGACUUAAGAUAUAUUACUUAAUAGGGGCUCCUUUUCGGGAUCAUAGGAUUCACUACUGUUAUCAAGACAAGUAGUUCUUCGCGAACAACAUGAUAGGUUGAAGUAUUAUCUGUUUCCUACUUUUUUUUCAGUUCUUACUUUCAUUGAUCCCAAAUAUUCACGCCAUUUCAUCAGUUUAUUAGAACAAUCUCUAGCAAAACGGCCACCUUGUUAACAUCUAGUGUAGUAUUUACCUUGACCUAGAUACGAGACUCUUGUCUUCAAUCCCUUUAUUGGAAGAAAACAUGGGAUAUCAAUUCUGGGAGUCACCUUUACAGGAUAGUUCCCAUUCAUCAAGCCUUAAGUCUUCCGUCUUGAAAACAGCAUUCUUUAACAGGGCCAAUGACCUCUCAAAAUUUUUUGAAAGUCUCAAUAAUAUCUUCAACUUUGAUAUCUUCGUGCGGAGAGUGAAUUGUAAUUUCUUUUUCAUAAAUAAUAGGGUUCCCAUAUUUGUCUCUUCUUUGAGUUUUCACACCUCUAACAGCUCCCUUAAUACCAUUAAUGUCUUCAUCCAGUUUUCUGAUAACAAAUUCGUCCUCCGCAUGCUGAAAUGAGAUUCCUAUAUCUAUUUCUUUCUUGAAAUCAAUUAAAAUCAAAUUUUUAUAACCCGGGCAUAUACGUACUCUCUGAAUAUUACCCUGUUCUAACUUAAGGAUACCAAAAAUAGUAUCUUCUACAUCUAAAUUGCAAGAUCUUCUGGGGUAUUAAUCAUUUUUUGAUGAGGUCAAAUCAACAAUUACCCUAUUGGCUUUAGUAGCUAAAUUCUUCUUCAGAGCUCGUAGGUAACUAGAGGCAUAAAAAUUUUCCUCCGUCGUUUUAUUCAUAUUUUUAGUAAGAAAUUUAACGGAACUUUCUUACCAUAGCUCUUAACCUCUUCAUACCUCUCUAAAGAGCUUAGAAUAUCCUAGAAGAAUCCUCAGGAUUCGACUCGGAUGCGAAGCAAGGGACGAAUUUACUAUCUAAACACCCACCCACUUCACUUAGCACAAAAAUGAAAUUACAAUACACUCAAAAAUUCAUAAAUCCUUAUGAAAAAGAUUUUUAAACUUAAAGUGAAAACCAGGUUGUUUUCCUCUCAAAUUAUUUUUUUCAUCUCUUAAAAUACCAUAUUUAUUUAUUUUCCUUUGUAACCUUCUUAUACGCUCUCGGAUACACAAAAUUAUAUUAAUUAUCUAAAAUAUCUGGACUUAUUUUUGAGUAGGUCAAUUUUACAUUUUCAAUCAAAGACUUGUUACUGGAUUCAAAGAUUUGAAUCUAUUUUGGACAAUACAUUUUUAUUCGGAAAUAAAUCAGGACUGUCGCUAGGCAAUUUAGUUUGAAGCCAAUCAUGUGCCAAUUCGGAGUGAUGAGCCGGAGCCCCGUCCUGCUGAAAAAUUACCUUGGAGAUGUGAGGCUCAUGUUUCCUCUUGAAAGUUGAUCCAUUUUCUCUACUCUUUUGUAUUGCAGACAGAAGAUACUUCUCUAGAAUAUUCUCCAUAUAGUAUUUGGCUAGAACAGUUUGCCCUUAUGGGAUAAUAUGCAUUUCACUUAGUGUUCUGUAUCUCAUAAGUCUCCACACUUGAUUUUCAGGGGAAAUUUCAUAGUUUCAGUGGACUCAACUUUGGAAUUUUGAUUAAUUUUGCCAGAAGCUGGAGCUUGUAAGGAAGAAUUUGAGAUAUUCCCUCAAGUGUUUUAUCACAGUUACAUGGGACACAUGAUGGCCAUCCUUCGUGAGUUUUGCGACCAAUUUCCUUGUAGAUUGACGUCUUUCGGUUAGGGAUUUUGCAAUUGUGAUUUUAGGUGCUCAUGAAAGUUUCUUCUUCCUUCCUCUACUAGGCUUGUUUUGGAGUUCCUCAAAAGCCUUGUGUUUGACCCACUACCUUUUCACAGUGAUAAUGGAUACUCCAAUAUCAUAUUUUGAGUUUUUUCAUCCUCAAGCAAAUUAACAACCUUGUUGUGUGUGAUUAAUCAUCUCAUUUUAACUAAUAUUACAUACAUUAAAAAGUACUAGCCUUUUGUAGGUGAAGAUUGCAAAAUUGCAAAAUGCUACAAAUUAUUUCACCAUGUUUUUGAAAUAAAUUAAAAAAUAUUGAAAUUUUAUUUAUACCAUCAUGAUGAACUUCAUAUGAAUGCAUCUUUCCGAGCUUAGGAGAAGAGUUGCUCUCACAAAAAUAUCAUUAAUAUGUAUGCGUGUAUAUUGAUAUCUAUGUAUAUAUACACUUAGACGUGCACAAUGUACAUGCAGAACCCUUAAAAAUAAAAACGAUUGUCGCUUGCCUCUUUCUUCUUUUUUGUUAAUUAUUAUCAUUGGUCAUUAAUCAUAUAUAAAUAAGUACCUGUAACUACGAACUACGUAUUAAUUAUUUUCAUAAGUUUUAGAAACGUGUAAAGUUGCUUCGUAAUUUUUAAAAAGAAGUAUUGACUUGAGAUUUGGUUUUGUAAGUACAAUAAUUCAUUACGUUUCUUGUGUUGUGUUGGUUGGUCCUUAAGAUGGUUAUUUUUUGGGACGUCCUUAUCUCAUUAAUUUGGAAAAUAUUACCAAACCCGACAAUAAAACUAUUUCAAGUGUUGCCGUAAAAAGUAUCAGCAACGUUCUUGGCUCAGAUUUCAGAGGCGAAAGACUGAAGGUUUUCAUUACCGACGGAGCUUCAUAUUGUAUUAAAGCAGCCGAAAAUCUUAAACAACAUUUUCCAAUGAUAUUACAUGUCACUUGUCUAGCUCAUGGUCUGAACAGAAUAGUAACGCUCUGUCCUGAUUAUUUCGAAAAUACAAACACUCUCAUCUCUGAAGUAAAGAAAGUAUUUUUUAAUUCAGGUGAUAGAAAACGUGAAUUUACUGCUUUAUGCCAAGCUCCACUCCCACCAGCACCUAUCCUCAUGCGUUAGGGAUCUUGGCUUAAAGCAGUGGAAUACUAUGCCAAGCACUUCAAUUCAGUCUUAUUAUUAUUUACUUAGUUUUUAUCGAAUUAAUUUCUUAUAUUUGUUAGUAGUUAAAUUUUCAUAAUGGAAUCGAUAUAAAAUGUAAUAGGUAUGUAUUAUUUAAAAUUAAAGUAACAAUUUUUGAUUAUUUGUUAAUAUUAUUUAUUAAAUUUAGAAUAAUUCAACUAUCCUCAUAGUUAAUAUCAAUAUUACAUUUGAUUAUCAUAUUCUUGACGUGAGCCUUCGUCAGACGGGAUUUUUUUGGUCAAUUUAUGUACAUCACGUUGGAAACCCUCUCGGAAUGAAAUUUAACGAUAGAAGUGUUUUUGUAUGUUAAAAACUCUAUAUCGUGAUGGAUAGUUUAUGCUGACAAUUUUCUAAAUUUGAUGUAUCCCUAUCAUCUACAGACAUUAAUUUUGAAAGGUUAAAGCGUAAUAUAUUGGCAUAGAUUUUCUACGAUAGUUACACUCGGGAGUAGCUCUUUCAAAGCUUUCUUGGUUACCUGGAUUGGAUUUAAAUUAUUUUGAAUAAACAUGAUUUCAUACAAAAGUGGAGCAUUCUUCAAAACAUCUUUUGUGUUAUAGAUUGCAUCAUAGUUUCCAUACCUAACAUUCAUAUACUCCUCGACUGAAUUGAAGUGCUUGGCGUAGUAUUCAAUUGUUUUAGAUCACCUAAAUUUAAAAAAUAUAUAUUCACUUCAGAGAUGAUAGUGUUUGUAUUUUAAAAGAAAUCAGGUCAGAGCAUUGCUAUUCUGUUCAGCCUAUGAGCAAUACAAAUGAUAUGCAACAUAAUUGGAAAAUGUUGUUUAAGGGUUUCGGCUGGUUUAAUACAGUAUGAAGCUCCGUUGUUUAAUGAAAACCUUCAGUCUUUAGCCUCUGAAAUAAGAGACAAGAACGUUGAUGAUACUUUUACAGAAACACUUGUAAUCAAUUGAUACCUUACAAAUUAAUGAGAUAAGAACGACCCAAAAAUUAACCAUAUAAAGAACCAUCUAACACUGCAGUCAUGGACCACUAUAGAGUGUCAGUAGUUUCGUCCAAUGCAAGAAAUAUAUCCUUCCCCUCAAUUUUUUUAAAAUUUUGGUCAACACUACUUUACUUUGAGACUCCAUUCACUUGGUGAUGGAGAAGCGAGAGGGAAUUACUUUUCCAGUGUAAAUUUCCAUAAACUUAACAAAAUUUGGAUGAUUAACGAUAUGGAGAAGAAUAUUUCAGGAGACAAGCAUUUUGGUUAUAUCUUCUGUAAAAUUGGAAUGUUCCUAAUUGGAAUUUAUUAUAUGACUUGUCUACAGUUUCAAAUUCCUUUCAUUAAUUUGAGUUUUACAGUCUUGUUAUAAUUUCAACAUCUUCUGGACUAUAGUUCCAUAAUUACAAAGAUGGCAUCCCAAAUAUCUAGAAUCCUUGUCCUAACUCCAUAUAUUUUUACAUAAAUUAUCAGCGAUCAAGUAAUAUUUAUCAUUUAAUUUACCCUUUAAAAGCUAUUAUAUAAAUAUUAAAUAUUUUUGAAAUGCAGUAUUGUUAAUUAAUUUUACAUUUAUUUUUAUUUUAAACAAAUUAUACUUUCUUCAAUGGAAAAAUAACUAAUAUUGGACUUGUAAGUACAAUGGAAAGUCCCUUUGAAUAAACACAAUUGUUUUUUUUUUUUGAAAAUAUAUGCAUUAGUGGCAUUAUAUGACAAUUUUUUAUUUUAUUUUAAGAUGCGUAAAGGAAGAAUACAAACUAUCAAAUUAACAUAAGAUCUAUUUUUAACUAGUACAGUAAACAAUUUCAUUUAUGUUUAUAUGAAACUCGAGUAAAUAUGUAAUAUGAAUAAAAAUUUCAAUAACGUUUUUAUAAUUUUGUUUGUCUCAACGAUGACAAUGGCAAUUAUUUAUGGUACACUUCAUAAUAUUGAAUCCGAUUCUAUUUGAAGUUCGAGCAAGCAAUUAAAUUGACCAGUCACAGUGUCCAUUAUUUUAAAUGAAGAUUUCAGAAACACUAAAUCUGAAAUGUAAUAAUCAUCUUAAUACAAUACUUCAAAUUUGAGGAGCUCACAAAUACCAUAAUCUGAUAACCUUCAGCAACGGACUUUUCGUU